rnacentral:rRNA from 1 species
CGGAGCUUGCUCCACCGGAAAAAGARGAGUGGCGAACGGGUGAGUAACACGUGGGUAACCUGCCCAUCAGAAGGGGAUAACACUUGGAAACAGGUGCUAAUACCGUAUAACAAUCGAAACCGCAUGGUUUUGAUUUGAAAGGCGCUUUCGGGUGUCGCUGAUGGAUGGACCCGCGGUGCAUUAGCUAGUUGGUGAGGUAACGGCUCACCAAGGCCACGAUGCAUAGCCGACCUGAGAGGGUGAUCGGCCACAUUGGGACUGAGACACGGCCCAAACUCCUACGGGAGGCAGCAGUAGGGAAUCUUCGGCAAUGGACGAAAGUCUGACCGAGCAACGCCGCGUGAGUGAAGAAGGUUUUCGGAUCGUAAAACUCUGUUGUUAGAGAAGAACAAGGAUGAGAGUAACUGUUCAUCCCUUGACGGUAUCUAACCAGAAAGCCACGGCUAACUACGUGCCAGCAGCCGCGGUAAUACGUAGGUGGCAAGCGUUGUCCGGAUUUAUUGGGCGUAAAGCGAGCGCAGGCGGUUUCUUAAGUCUGAUGUGAAAGCCCCCGGCUCAACCGGGGAGGGUCAUUGGAAACUGGGAGACUUGAGUGCAGAAGAGGAGAGUGGAAUUCCAUGUGUAGCGGUGAAAUGCGUAGAUAUAUGGAGGAACACCAGUGGCGAAGGCGGCUCUCUGGUCUGUAACUGACGCUGAGGCUCGAAAGCGUGGGGAGCAAACAGGAUUAGAUACCCUGGUAGUCCACGCC